rfam:Ovis aries breed Texel chromosome 2, whole genome shotgun sequence.
UCCCUGGUGGUCCAGUGGUUAGGAUGCUGCCCUUCCACUGCAGGGGGCACAGGUUCGAUCCCUAGUCGGAGAA